UGGGGCAUGCGCAGGAAGGGAGCAGGGAAGGAUGCAAGGUAACUGUCUCCCUGGCUGUGCCGUCCUUCCAGGGUCUCUAAUCUAUGGAGGAGAAAGGGAGCAGGAAAAAGACGAAGGGCCAUCUUCAGGCUCGGCCUGAGCCACAGGCCUAGGACUCUGGAAAAAGGACCUUUGCUUGGAAUGUCCCAGCGCCCUAAGAACAGCAGCAGCACCGGAUGUAGUCUCUGCUUCCGGUUGUCAUCAGCCAAUGAGAGAAGGUUAAAGAGAACACUAGCGUUUUCCCACAGGAGAAUGCGAGUGCCCAGCAGCAAGGCAGCUGCUGUCCCCAGACCGGUUUCUGUCCAUGGGCGGCUGACACUCGCGGGGUGCUGGGCAUCCGCCUCACUGACGCCAUCUCGUGUCAUUACUGGAACACCACUGUGGGACACUACCGGCAGGGGAAAUCUGGGGCUCCCAACGGUGAAGCCCCUUCUCCCGCGUCUCUGGAGGACGUCACCACCGAAUUCAAACCCCGGUGUUUUGAGACUUAGGACGACGGCUCCGACUCCUCGCACCCCCCCCACCCCCCAACCCGGGACCUUGUGCGAGGCAGGUGCGGUGUCACUGAGCUAAAUCCCGGGCCCUGUU
rnacentral:lncRNA from 1 species